rnacentral:rRNA from 2 species
ACGCCAGUCUGCAUGGAGCCGACCUUGAAAUACCACCCUUUAAUGUUUGAUGUUCUAACGUGGACCCGUAAUCCGGGUUGCGGACAGUGUCUGGUGGGUAGUUUGACUGGGGCGGUCUCCUCCUAAAGAGUAACGGAGGAGCACGAAGGUUGGCUAAUCCUGGUCGGACAUCAGGAGGUUAGUGCAAUGGCAUAAGCCAGCUUGACUGCGAGCGUGACGGCGCGAGCAGGUGCGAAAGCAGGUCAUAGUGAUCCGGUGGUUCUGAAUGGAAGGGCCAUCGCUCAACGGAUAAAAGGUACUCCGGGGAUAACAGGCUGAUACCGCCCAAGAGUUCAUAUCGACGGCGGUGUUUGGCACCUCGAUGUCGGCUCAUCACAUCCUGGGGCUGAAGUAGGUCCCAAGGGUAUGGCUGUUCGCCAUUUAAAGUGGUACGCGAGCUGGGUUUAGAACGUCGUGAGACAGUUCGGUCCCUAUCUGCCGUGGGCGCUGGAGAACUGAGGGGGGCUGCUCCUAGUACGAGAGGACCGGAGUGGACGCAUCACUGGUGUUCGGGUUGUCAUGCCAAUGGCACUGCCCGGUAGCUAAAUGCGGAAGAGAUAAGUGCUGAAAGCAUCUAAGCACGAAACUUGCCCCGAGAUGAGUUCUCCCUGAGACUUAGAGUCUCCUGAAGGAACGUUGAAGACGACGACGUUGAUAGGCCGGGUGUGUAAGCGCAGCGAUGCGUUGAGCUAACCGGUACUAAUGAACCGUGAGGCUUAACCUU